ACCUCGGUGGUGUAGCGGUAGCACGCGUUCCAGGUAUGGAUGAAACGCGAGUUCCACUACCGCCUGAGGUC